UACGUAGGGUGCAAGCGUUAAUCGGAAUUACUGGGCGUAAAGCGUGCGCAGGCGGUUCUAUAAGACAGAUGUGAAAUCCCCGGGCUCAACCUGGGAACUGCAUUUGUGACUGUAGAGCUGGAGUGCGGCAGAGGGGGAUGGAAUUCCGCGUGUAGCAGUGAAAUGCGUAGAUAUGCGGAGGAACACCGAUGGCGAAGGCAAUCCUCUGGGCCUGCACUGACGCUCAUGCACGAAAGCGUGGGGAGCAAACAGG
rnacentral:rRNA from 1 species